CCUCUUUGGGGGCUGUCAGCAGGGCUCCCCAAUAAGCAUCUCGACAACAGUCUUCCUGUAUGAUUCUUGACCUAAUAUGUGAUCAGCUGUCUGUUUCUUUCCACAGCAAAGCGUUUGGAAAAUGACACAGCCUGAAGAAAAACGGGAAUUCAAAAUCUGGCUCCAGAUUUCCUUGUGAACCAGUCUGCUCCUCCGCAUCUCUAGAAAGGGACAGACCUUGGGGAGAAGAGUCCAGUGGAACUGAACAACUGAUGUGGGUGACAGCCUGCAUCAGGUAUAGACGAGGACGUCAGUGUACAGCCUAACAGCAUUUGAACGAUCAGUCCCAGGGAUUUUCUCAUAGGAAAUUAUUCCAGAGUGGCUCCUCCUGAUAGAUUGUCCUGGAUUAAUUUCCUACACAGAUUCUCAGGUAAGAUUGCAAGACAAACUAUACCAAAAGUUGCUAUCUCACCAGGGUUAAUCAGGAAGAUUUAUAUUUAAAUUCAUACUCUACCUUAAUCUAAAU
rnacentral:lncRNA from 1 species